UACAGGGGGGGCAAGCGUUGUUCGGAAUUACUGGCGUAAAGGGCCAGUAGGCGGCCAACUAAGUCACACGUGAAAUCCCCAGGCUUAACCUGGGAACUGCGUGUGAUACUGGAUGGCUUGAAUUCGGGAGAGGGAUGCAGAAUUCCAGGUGUAGCGGUGAAAUGCGUAGAUAUCUGGAGGAAUACCGGUGGCGAAGGCGGCAUCCUGGACCGAGAUUGACGCUGAACGGCGAAAGCUAGGGGAG
rnacentral:rRNA from 1 species